rnacentral:tRNA from 1 species
AAUGCGCAUAGCCAAUGGCGCGGCGGUGUGAUUCGCUGGAUUAAACAAUCAAGUGAAAAAAGCUUGGAACUAGGGUUAGAAAUCUUAGCGCAAGA